rnacentral:rRNA from 1 species
GAUGAACGCUGGCGGCGUGCCUAAUACAUGCAAGUCGAGCGAACAGAUGAGGAGCUUACUCCUCUGACGUUAGCGGCGGACGGGUGAGUAACACGUGGAUAACCUACCUAUAAGACUGGGAUAACUUCGGGAAACCGGAGCUAAUACCGGAUAAUAUAUUGAACCGCAUGGUUCAAUAGUGAAAGACGGUUUUGCUGUCACUUAUAGAUGGAUCCGCGCCGCAUUAGCUAGUUGGUAAGGUAACGGCUUACCAAGGCAACGAUGCGUAGCCGACCUGAGAGGGUGAUCGGCCACACUGGAACUGGGACACGGUCCAGACUCCUACGGGAGGCAGCAGUAGGGAAUCUUCCGCAAUGGGCGAAAGCCUGACGGAGCAACGCCGCGUGAGUGAUGAAGGUCUUCGGAUCGUAAAACUCUGUUAUUAGGGAAGAACAAAUGUGUAAGUAACUAUGCACGUCUUGACGGUACCUAAUCAGAAAGCCACGGCUAACUACGUG